AACAGGAAAACCCAAAUGGGAUGACCAGGAAGCAGACAUGGAUUCAGCUCCAAAAACAUGGGAGGAUGUUUGCUUAGCCGACAAGGAAGCAGGUUUACAGGGUAACCAGCCACCAGCCGUAAGCCUUCACGCUGCCUCUGGAGACCACGGAAGGAGCCUUCUCCCCGGAGGCUUUCGGAUGCCUUAGGAUGACUUUCACAACUACCAGUUUUGAGGCGACACAAGGAGCCAGGGCUCUUGGUGCCUUCUCUAAAAGAAAACGCACGGCUACUCAGGGUGACGAAGACUCUCUACUUUAUCUUGUAGAUGAAGUUUUAUUUUGCCUUCACUUUCGCCGUGAGAUUGAUGAUCUCUCUGGAAUUUAUCUGUGUGUAUGACGUGAGGUAGGCGUCAAGACUCAUUUCUUUCCUGUGGCCAUCCAACUGACCCCGUACUGUUUAUUAUUAAAGUGACCAUCCAUUCCCUACGGCCCCUCAGUGCCCCCGUGUCAUAAAUCAAGUGUCCAGAUAUCUAUGGGCUGUCACUAGGCUCUCUGUUCCAUUCCUUUGAUCAAAAUCAGAUAGACAAAUUGUUCUCCUCUUGUAGUGUAGCACCCCAGCCUUCAAUCAGGUGAUUUUUGACAAGUAAAGUUCCAGAAAAUAUAAAUCGGAGAAGCAAAGUUCAGUGUGGACAGAGUCUGAGCCCAGUCUGGGCCUCUCAGAAAGAGCAGGAUGAGAAGAAAGAGACGCAGGAAAAAAGCAUCGGAAGCUAAGGAAGGGGACAGCAACAAGAAGGGCAGAGAGGGGGACGUGAGCCUGGGUUUUGUGGAUAAUGACAGAAACGAUCCAGAGAACAGACCGAAGCUGGUUAAAGAGACGACCGGCGUCAAAGUCAAGACCAGGUUAGCGGGCUGAUCCUGAGCAGAUGAACUCAGCCUUGCUGAGCCUCGGUCUCCCAAUCUGCGAAGUGCGAGGAGCCGUCCUCCUUGAGCUGUGAGGAGUAAGCAGAUGAGUCGGAGGUACAGCCCUUUCAUCACAUCCCGACAGAGCCUGGCAAUCCGAGUAUUCCAGCACACUAGGUGCCAUCCUCGCCGUGGUGACGCCUCAGCGCCCAGCCAGACCGAGGGUGCAAUCCUGCCGUUCAGCAUUCCGUGAGUACCUACCACUAAGCAAAGAUAACGUGGACAGUGGUGACAAACUCAGAAUCUCCAACGAGACCGGCUUGAAUCCGCAUGCCAGGACAGCCUCGACUAGUUACAGAGACUUGAACAACUUAUUGACCAUCCCAAGUUCCCAGUUUCAGCUCCAUUCAUCCUUUCCAGGGGCUUUCUUGAGGAGGACGGCAUGAGACACAGAUGCACAAUGCCCAACACAAAGUUACUGCUCAGCGGAUGCCAGUACCCCGUAACGAUGCCGACGAUGACGGACAGUGAUGAUGGUGUGCCUGGCACCACACCAGGCACCGGAAGAGAAGGCCUAGGAACACUCGGAAGACCCACAGCUCCUGGCAAUCGUGGUCUUCGGACCACGUCCGAACCAGGCACAAGCACACCUAGCUUCAUCCUGACAAGACUAAGCAGAUGAGACCGAGGGUGUUCAAGUGGGGGGCCCAGGAGGAGACGGCUUGGAGGAAAAAGAUGGAGAUGCCAAGGAAAAGCCAAACUGCUGAGCCAGUUAAAUACUUGGUAAGGAAACUCUAAUCUUGGGGAACUUUAAGAAGAAACAAAAACACGGAAUCUAUAAAUACGAAUACUCAGAGAGUCUAAGCAUGUGCGGGGUCAAGGCGGGGGACGCGCGUCGGAAACGGUACUCACAGACUGGAAGUCUGAUGGUGCCCACGGGGAGAAGGUUCCUGAAAGAACAGCGCCGUUAAAAGCUUCGAUCAACAAUCCCGACCACGAUGUGGUCCGUCCUACGACCACAGCUUCUCAGUCUCCAGGAACAGCGACCCCAGAACCUCUGAGGAGCUUCUCCCAUCAAAUUCCCCACGCAAGGGACCGUGGCACUUCCGCCCAGGUGGCUGAGCUGAAGCGAGAGUAGGCCCCAGCAGUGACAACAAACACUCCAAGGACACAAUGCGGUGCCACGUGCCAAGUGAAAAUCCGAGCGACAAGGGCUGGGGACAGCCUGUGCUGGAGGGUAGGUCCUGGCAGAGGUGAGACGGCAGAGGCAGACACGGAAAAAGCCGCCGCGGGCAGGGAGCUGGACCAGGAAGCAGACAACGAGGGGCCUGGCAGACACCGGCCCUGGGCACACGGGCCUCCCCUGCGUGCAGGGCAGAGGAAGAUGCGUGAGGGCCAGGGCGGGUCCCCAGCAGGCAGGAGUGAACCCCGGCACCAGCAGAGACGCCGAGGGGAACAUGCCAAGGCCAGCACAGUGACUGACGGGGCAGACGCGCCCAGAGAAGGUCAGGCGUAGGUGGCGGAUGUUGUGACGGGUGUGUGCCCUCUUUCUGAGGGGACGCUUUCUCCUGAGCAGACUGACUCUGUCUGUCUGUCGGGCCAAAAUUUCAGGCUCCGAAGUGUCCUGCCCAAGCUGGCUUCUCCACCACCUCCUGGGAAAACGCAAGGGGCCAACUGUCUUCGGCUAGGCCACUGAUGGUUAGGUCUGCUGCCACAGACAGCUCCCCAUGCAGCCUCACGCAGAAUCCAGGCCGGCGAUGGGAGCAGCACCUGCUAUUCUGAAAACGGACCAGGGCACAGAGGACAUGGGCAGUGCGAUGUGCCCAAGCCCCGGGCCCAGGGGCCUCCAGGGCUGCCCACGAUGCAGGGGGCAAAGCCUCCUGGGACUCAGGGGGUAACUCAACUUGCCUCCUGGCCGGCUGCUCAUGAAAUCCUGGCCCUGUCAAUGAACAGAAAUAAUUUCCAGAGAGACAGCCUGUGGCUGGGCCACGUGAGCCCACGUGGAGGGACCUCUGGCCCAUCCCUGCAAGGUGGAAGCGGCCGCCUGGGCCACGGGCCAGACGUGGCCGGGGUGGGAGGGGCCUUGACUCCUCUGGGCACAGGUGGGGACCCUCAGACGGUGGUACUGCUGUUCCUGGGGUCCUCGGUCUUGAUCGGAAAGGGAAGCUCUGGGCGGGAGGAGACGGUCCUGGGGUACACAGAACCUGGGCCACUGACGACGCACGGGCCGUGGCGACCUCUGCGUGACCACAUGAGCUUAACACCACGAGUCUCAAACAUGGAGCUUCUUUCCUGCCCCAGACCCAACCGUGGCCUGGCUGAGCUGAGUCAGAACUAGACGGCAGGUGCCACACACACGAGGCGGACGGGGGUUCCCCACAUGAGGCUGACGUGUGCCUUCAUUUCCAUUUGGCCUGUUCCCCACCCCGCAGGGGCCCGCCCGCGCCUGAGCCUGGGGCCUCGAGGGAAGAGGGAAGAGGAACGACCCUGGGGCCACCGCGCACACCAGGGCGCAGAGGCCAGGCUUUCAGCAAAGUGCCAACCCUGCCGGGAGCUGGAGCAGAGACAGGGCACUCUCCUGACGGGGAGGAGGGGCUGAGCUCGGAGGGGCUCCUGGGGGCCUCGCGGGCAAGGACGCGGCGUGUCGCUGCGGUAGCUCGGGUCUGAUCACUGGCCUGGGAACUUCCGCGUGGAGCAGGCGAGGCCCCCCAAAUUAAAUACAUAAAUAAAUACAUACAUAAUGCACUAAAUAACAGCAGAGUUCCCGUCGUGGCUCAGUGGUUAAG